CCUACGGGAGGCAGCAGUGGGGAAUAUUGGACAAUGGGGGGAACCCUGAUCCAGCGACGCCGCGUGCGUGAAGAAGUCUUUCGGUAUUUAAAGCUCUAUCAGCAGGGAAGAAAGAAAUGACGGUACCUGACUAAUAAGCCCCGGCUAACUACGUGCCAGCAGCCGCGGUAAUACGGAGGGGGCAAGCGUGCUCCGGAUUUACUGGGUGUAAAGGUAUCGUAGACGGCGAGGCAAGUCUGAAGUGAAAGGCGGGGGCCCAACCCCUGGCCUGCUUUGGAAACUGGAUGGCUGGAGUGCAGGAGAGGUAAGUGGAAUUCCUAGUGUAGCGGUGAAAUGCGUAGAUAUUAGGAGGAACACCAGUGGCGAAGGCGGCUUACUGGACUGUAACUGACGUUGAGGCUCGAAAGCGUGGGGAGCAAACAGGAUUAGAUACCCGGGUAGUC
rnacentral:rRNA from 1 species